AAUGAACGUUGGCGGCGUGGAUUAGGCAUGCAAGUCGAGCGAGAACCCCGCAAGGGGGGACAGCGGCGAAAGGGACAGUAAUGUGUAGAUUCUCUGCCCUCAGGUCCGGGAUAGCUGCGGGAAACUGCAGGUAAUACCGGAUAACAUCUCCGGAUCAAAGGUGUGAUUCCGCCUGAGGAUGAGUCUGCAUCCUAUUAGCUAGUUGGUGGGGUAAUGGCCUACCAAGGCAUUGAUGGGUAGCAGGUGUGAGAGCACGACCUGCGUCAUUGGGACUGAGACACUGCCCAGACACCUACGGGUGGCUGCAGUCGAGAAUCUGCGGCAAUGGGCGCAAGCCUGACCGAGCGACGCCGCGUGUGGGAUGAAGGCCUUCGGGUUGUAAACCACUGUCAGAGGGGAUGAAAUGCAGGUGGGUGCUCCCAUCUGUUGGACAUAGCCGCAGAGGAAGGACGGGCUAAGUUCGUG
rnacentral:rRNA from 1 species